GGUCGUUUAGCUCAGGGGUCUAGAGCGUAUGUCUUACAUAAGCAAGUUCUUAUGAGAACACAUAAGGUCGCAGGUUCGAUCCCUGCAACGAUCA
rnacentral:tRNA from 1 species